UACGUAGGGUGCGAGCGUUAAUCGGAAUUACUGGGCGUAAAGCGUGCGCAGGCGGUUUUGUAAGUCUGACGUGAAAUCCCCGGGCUCAACCUGGGAAUUGCGUUGGAGACUGCAAGGCUGGAGUCUGGCAGAGGGGGGUAGAAUUCCACGUGUAGCAGUGAAAUGCGUAGAGAUGUGGAGGAACACCGAUGGCGAAGGCAGCCCCCUGGGUCAAGAUUGACGCUCAUGCACGAAAGCGUGGGGAGCAACAGG
rnacentral:rRNA from 1 species